AUUGAACGCUGGCGGCCGGCCUAACACAUGCAAGUCGCACGAGUGGCUGACGGGUGAGUAAUGUCUGUUAAACUGCCUGCUGGAGGGGGAUCACUACUGGAAACGGUAGCUAAUACCGCAUACCCUCGGAUGUGCCCCGAUGGGAUUAGCUAGUAGGUGGGGUAAAGGCUCACCUAGGCGACGAUCCCUAGCUGGUCUGAGAGGAUGACCAGCCACACUGGAACUGAGACACGGUCCAGACGCCUACGGGAGGCAGCAGUGGGGAAUAUGGCACAAUGGGCGCAAGCCUGAUGCAGCCAUGCCGCGUGUAUGAAGAAGGCCUUCGGGUUGUAAAGUACUUUCAGCGGGGAGGCGUUACCCGCAGAAGAAGCACCGGCUAACUCCGGGCCAGCAGCCGCGGUAAUUC
rnacentral:rRNA from 1 species